AUGGUUCCUAAUCCGCGUCACAUCCGCCGCCUCCUCCUCGUCGCCGCCGCCGGGGCCUUCAUCUACAUCCAAGUGCGGCACUUUUCUGCCCAGUCUCAUGACGCCGGCCGCCUCGCCCUCGCGGGAGCAGAUCAGCCUGAUCUCUCUGUUGCCGCUGUUGUCAUAAUGGCUUGCAAUCGACCAGACUACUUGCACAGGACAGUUGAAUCUAUCCUCAAGUAUCAGAAAGCAGUUGCUUCAAAGUUCCCACUAUUUAUAUCACAGGAUGGAACAAAUGGAGAAGUAAAAAAUAAGGCCUUGAGUUAUACCCAAAUAACAUUUAUGCAGCAUGUAGAUCUUGAACCUGUGCACACUGAAAGUCCAGGGGAACACAUUGCAUAUUACAAGAUAGCUAACCACUACAAAUGGGCCUUGGACGAGCUAUUCACUAAGCGUAAUUUUCGUCGAGUAAUCAUUCUGGAAGAUGACAUGGAGAUCGCCCCAGAUUUCUUCGACUACUUCGAGGCUGCAGCGAAAUUACUUGAUACUGACAAGUCGAUAAUGGCUGUUUCUUCUUGGAAUGACAAUGGGCAAAAGCAGUUCGUUUAUGACCCAAAAGCUCUUUACCGUUCGGACUUCUUUCCUGGGCUUGGAUGGAUGCUAACAAAGUCAACAUGGAUGGAGCUGUCACCAAAGUGGCCCAAAGCUUAUUGGGAUGAUUGGGUGAGGCUAAAGGAGGUACACAAAGAUCGACAAUUUAUUCGACCAGAAGUAUGCAGGACAUACAACUUUGGCGAGCAUGGAUCAAGCAUGGGACAAUUCUUCGACCAGUACUUGAAACCAAUCAAGUUAAAUGAUGCUCAUAUUGACUGGAACUCCGAGGACCUGAGCUACCUCUCGGAGGACAAGUUCUUGAUCAAAUUUGGGAAAGAUGUCGCUAAUGCCACACCUGUGCAUGGAUCCGAUGAUUUGUUGAAGGCCCACAAUCUGUAUGUGGACGUAAGGAUUCAGUAUAACGACCAGGGCGAUUUCGAGCGUGUAGCUCGUCAGUUUGGAGUAUUUGAAGAGUGGAAGGACGGUGUUCCACGGGCAGCUUACAAGGGCGUGGUGGUCUUCCGAUACAAAAGCAGUCGAAGACGAAUAUACCUUGUUGGCCCUGACUCUCUUCGUCAACUUGGGGUUUAG
rnacentral:rRNA from 1 species